UUUCAAGCGAGUUUGAUCCUGGCUCAGGACGAACGCUGGCGGCGCGCCUAAUGCAUGCAAGUCGAACGGUUGCCUUGGCCUUCGGGCCUUGGCGAUAGUGGCAAACGGCUGAGUAACGCGUAAGGGACCUGACCCUGGGAGAGGGAUAACUCACUGAAAGGUGAGCUAAUACCCCGUACGCUGGUCGGCUGCAUGGCCGAUCAGGAAAGUUUCGGCGAAAGCCGUUUCGCCCGGGGAGGGCCUUGCGUCCUAUCAGGUAGUUGGCGGGGUAACGGCCCACCAAGCCUAAGACGGGUAACCGGUGUGAGAGCAUGAACGGUCAGAGGGGGACUGAGACACGGCCCCCACUCCUACGGGAGGCAGCAGCAGGG
rnacentral:rRNA from 1 species